UGGUGGGUUCUUGGUCUCACUGACUUCAAGAAUGAAGCUGCAGACCCUUGCAGUAAGUGUUACAGUUUUUAAAGAUGGUGUGUCCAGAGUUGUGCAU